rnacentral:rRNA from 1 species
GACAGAGGGUGCAAACGUUGUUCGGAAUUACUGGGCGUAAAGCGCGUGUAGGCGGCCCUGCAAGUCGGGUGUGAAAUCCCACGGCUCAACCGUGGAAGUGCACUCGAAACUGCAGGGCUAGAGUCCUGGAGAGGAAGGUGGAAUGCUUGGUGUAGAGGUGAAAUUCGUAGAUAUCGGGAGGAAGGCCGGUGGCGAAGGCGGCGCUCUGGAACGUACCUGACGCUGAGACACGAAAGCGUGGGGAGCAAACAGG